rnacentral:rRNA from 1 species
CUUCCCCCUCUUGAAAUCAGUGGGGACUUUCCAAGAAGGGUGGGGUCCCUUUGGGGGCCUUGAACAGGGGGGGCAUGGGUGUUGUCAACUCGUGUCGUGAGAAGUUUGGGUUAAAUCCGCAAAGAGAGCAACCCCUUUGCCUUGAGUCCCCCAGUUAGGUGGGGCACUUUAAGGAGACUGCCGGUGACAAACGGGAGGAAGGUGGGGAGGACGUCAAGUCAUCAUGGCCCUUACGGCCAGGGCUACACACGUGCUACAAUGGUCGGUACAAAGGGAAGCCAACCCGCGAGGGGGAGCCAAUCCCAAAAAGCCGUUUCCAGUCCGGAUUGCGUUCUGCAACUCGCCUCCAUGAAGUGGGA